UAGGGAAUCUUGCGCAAUGGGCGAAAGCCUGACGCAGCAACGCCGCGUGGGGGAUGAAGGCCUUCGGGUUGUAAACUCCUUUCAGUGGGAACGAAAUUGACGGUACCCACAGAAGAAGCCCCGGCCAACUACGUGCCAGCAGCCGCGGUGAUACGUAGGGGGCGAGCGUUGUCCGGAUUCAUUGGGCGUAAAGAGCUCGUAGGCGGUUUGGUAAGUCGGGUGUGAAACCUCCAGGCUCAACCUGGAGACGCCACUUGAUACUGCCAUGACUCGAGUCCGGUAGGGGACCAUGGAAUUCCUGGUGUAGCGGUGAAAUGCGCAGAUAUCAGGAGGAACACCAGUAGCGAAGGCGGUGGUCUGGGCCGGUACUGACGCUGAAGAGCGAAAGCGUGGGGAGCGAACAGG
rnacentral:rRNA from 1 species